rnacentral:rRNA from 1 species
ACGGCUCAGUAACACGUAGUCAACCUGCCCUGGAGACAAGGACAACCCCGGGAAACUGGGAUUAAUCCUUGAUAGGUCAUCUCACCUGGAAGGAGAGAUGGCUUAAAGGGGUACGCGGGCUUCUUCCGCGAAUCCGCUCCAGGAUGGGACUGCGUCCGAUCAGGCUGUUGGCGGGGUAAUGGCCCACCAAACCUGUAACCGGUACGGGCCUUGAGAGAGGUGGCCCGGAGAUGGACACUGAGAGAAGGGUCCAGGUCCUACGGGGCGCAGCAGGCGCGAAACCUUCGCAAUGCGCGAAAGCGUGACGAGGUUAAUCCGAGUGACUUCCGCUGAGGAGGUCUUUUGUCAGCUGUAAAUAGGCAGGCGAAUAAGGGGAGGGCAAGCCUGGUGUCAGCCGCCGCGGUAAUACCAGCUCCUCGAGUGGUCGGGGCGAUUAUUGGGCCUAAAGCAUCCGUAGCCGGUUCCGUAGGUCCUCUGUUAAAUCCAACCGCUUAACGGUUGACCUGCAGAGGAUACCGCGGGACUAGGAGGCGGGAGAGGCGGACGGUACUCCGCGUGUAGGGGUAAAAUCCUUUGAUCCGCGGAAGACCACCAGAUUGCUCGCGGUUAACGACCACGGGCAUGGUGAAUGGCGAAGGCGGUCCGCCAGAACGCGCUCGACGGUGAGGGAUGAAAGCUGGGGGAGCGAACCGGAUUAGAUACCCGGGUAGUCCCAGCCGUAAACGAUGCUAGCUAGAUGAUUCAUUCGCAAGUCGCGAAUGAAGUGUCGCAGGGAAGCCGUUAAGCUAGCCGCCUGGGGAGUACGGUCGCAAGACUGAAACUUAAAGGAAUUGGCGGGGGAG